rnacentral:misc_RNA from 1 species
GAUGAAGAACGCAGUGAAAUGCGAUAAGUAAUGUGAAUUGCAGAAAUCAGUGAAUCAUCGAAUCUUUGAACGCACAUUGCGCCCGCUAGUAUUCUGGCGGGCAUGCCUGUCCGAGCGUCAUUUCAACCCUCAAGCCCCCGGGCUUGGUGUUGGGGAUCGGCGAGCCUCCGCGCCCGCCGUCCCCUAAAUCUAGUGGCGGUCUCGCUGUAGCUUCCUCUGCGUAGUAGCACACCUCGCACUGGGAAACAGCGCGGCCACGCCGUUAAACCCCCAACUUCUGAACGUUUGACCUCGGAUCAGGUAGGAAUACCCGCUGAACUUAAGCAUAUCAAUAAGCGGAGGA